UUGCGAUGAUGACAAUCUUAGGACACCUUUGGAAUUAACCAUGAAAAGAACUAAGAAAUGUAUCUGAGCAGC